UACAGAGGUCUCGAGCGUUAGGCGGAAUCACUGGGCUUAAAGCGUGUGUAGGUGGAUGCCUAAGUACCUUGUGAAAUCCCACGGCCUAACCGUGGAACUGCUUGGUAUACUGGGUGUCUUGAGUCACUCAGGGGCGAGCGGAACAAAUGGUGGAGCGGUGAAAUGCGUAGAUAUCAUUUGGAACGCCAAUGGUGAAAACAGCUCGCUGGGGGUGCACUGACACUGAGACACGAAGCCAGGGAGCGAACGGG
rnacentral:rRNA from 1 species